rnacentral:rRNA from 1 species
GAUGAACGCUGGCGGCGUGCCUAAUACAUGCAAGUCGAGCGAACGGACGAGAAGCUUGCUUUUCUGAUGUUAGCGGCGGACGGGUGAGUAACACGUGGAUAACCUACCUAUAAGACUGGGAUAACUUCGGGAAACCGGAGCUAACACCGGAUAAUAUUUUGAACCGCAUGGUUCAAAAGUGAAAGACGGUCUUGCUGUCACUUAUAGAUGGAUCCGCGCUGCAUUAGCUAGUUGGUAAGGUAACGGCUUACCAGGGCAACGAUGCAUAGCCGACCUGAGAGGGUGAUCGGCCACACUGGAACUGAGACACGGUCCAGACUCCUACGGGAGGCAGCAGCAGGGAAUCUUCCGCAAUGGGCGAAAGCCUGACGGAGCAACGCCGCGUGAGUGAUGAAGGUCUUCGGAUCGUAAAACUCUGUUAUUAGGGAAGAACAUAUGUGUAAGUAACUGUGCACAUCUUGACGGUACCUAAUCAGAAAGCCACGGCUAACUACGUG